rnacentral:rRNA from 1 species
AUACGGAGGGGGUUAGCGUUGUUCGGAAUUACUGGGCGUAAAGCGUACGUAGGCGGACUGGAAAGUUGGGGGUGAAAUCCCGGGGCUCAACCCCGGAACUGCCUCCAAAACUUCCAAUCUAGAGAUCGAGAGAGGUGAGUGGAAUUCCAAGUGUAGAGGUGAAAUUCGUAGAUAUUUGGAGGAACACCAGUGGCGAAGGCGGCUCACUGGCUCGAUACUGACGCUCAGGUACGAAAGCGUGGGGAGCAAACAGGAUUAGAUACCCUAGUAGUCC